rnacentral:tRNA from 1 species
UUGAUCUUGUUGCCCCGGGCAACAAACAUGCAUGAACCAUUUCACGAAGUAUGUGUCCGGAUAACCCAAAG